CGUCGGUUCCCCCGCGACAACCAGUUGUAAACCCCGUCAGGCCCGGAAGGGAGCAGCGGUAGCAGCUGAGUUGGGUGCCGGGGUCGGGCUGGCGCGG
rnacentral:SRP_RNA from 1 species